UCUGCUGCAGCGUGGAUAAUCUCUGUAAGGACAUUUUUCUUCGUGGCAAGAUGGAUGAUCAAGGUUGGGUUCCCGUCUCAUUGAUUGCUACCUUUAACAUGGUUAAAAGGGUGACCACGAGCAUAGCGAUGAUAUUGAAUGCUCUAAGAGAUUCGACAGAACUUGAAAUA